AAAAAUAAUGUCAAUAUGCUAUAAUAAAAUGCUUUUUUAAAGCUAUAGCAAUAAACGUAUAGUGUAGUAAAAAUUGCGGACUCGAGGGCGGUACUCGACAUCUUCACGGGGAUGAAUAGAAUCGACGUGUUUUGAGAAGCUAUAUUUUUGCUCGGUGUUGUGACCGUGAAAAACUAAAAAAAAUAAAUGGCGAAAACGCUAAAAAUGGUUUGAAUGCAUUUAUACAUGCUGCAAAUACUGGAGCUGCUGUAUUCUCAGCUGUUACCUUGCUUGCUGCAAAUGGUGCAAUGCCAGUACGACGACGCCGUCGUAUGGCUGCGUAAAUGCUUUGAGUGUUCAGCGUAUGCGAACACACAAACCGGCGGUUUUGAGGAAUACCGAGCAACAGAAACUUC
rnacentral:tmRNA from 1 species